AGCAGAAAGCAGGGAAGCGGAAAGCCCACCACCUUCCUUGGAUCCACAACCCAAACACCCCCCACCCCACCCCCACACACGCCUCCCUCUCUCUCUCUCUCCCCCCUCGCUUCUCUCUUCUUCCAACCCCUCGCGUAUUUUAGUCUUAGUCUAUUCGAGUCCUACCAGUAGCUUAGCUAGCAGCCGAGCCGGUGGCGUGG
rnacentral:lncRNA from 1 species